rnacentral:tRNA from 1 species
GGGAUUAUAUUUAAUUAUAAUAUUUGAUUUGCAUUCAAAAAGUGUCUUAAUGACUAAUCUUA